rnacentral:lncRNA from 1 species
GUUGAUGGCGUUGCGCGCCGCAGCCACGGCCGCCAACGCGGUCGCGACGACGGCAUCUCUCGGCUGGUGGUGGAUGCCGCCAUCUGUUUCCUUGGCUACGUGAUCGCGCGCCCUCUUGGUCUCGUGUUUCGUGGCCUCACCGUCGGUACGCUCGCUGCGGCGCGACCGAUGGCGAUGGGGCCUCUCGCUGCUUUUGCGUUUCUCUGCUUUGUUGUUGUUGUUGUUGUGCCUGGCGGCACCAUCGGCGAUGUCGCCGUCCGCGUUGUCCUUGUGACGACUCUGCACAUGAUCGCGUCCGCGCUCGUCUCUGUGCUUAUCGCGCCGCCGCCGGUGCGGUUCGGCGUCGCCGCGGUGGCGCCGAUGGUUUCGGUGGUCCUUGCCGACCGUCUUGGCGUCGCUCAGACCGCGCACGCCGUUAUCGGGCACGCACGGCGCCGUUGCGUCCGAGACC